GAGCAAACGGCCCAGCUGCCUUCCCCUGCGGCACGUCCUGGGCCCAGCCCAGACAGCAGAGGAGGAGCAGCCCGAUGGAUGCUACACCCAGGUGUCCCAGGAGGUCGUGCAGGGCAGAGAGAGCCAGGGGGACACAGCAGGAGGAUGUGGGGAGCCCCCAGAGCCCCCCAGCACCGAUGGGGUUGAUGAAGCCAUCAAGAGAAUCGUUGCCCUGCUCCGGAGUGCAGGAGAUGAGCUGGACAGGGAGG
rnacentral:lncRNA from 1 species